GCGAGAUAGCUCCGCUGGUAAAGCAUGAGACUCUUAAUCUCAGGAUUGUGGGUUCAAGAAUGUCUACUAGUCACG